GAAGUUCGUCUAACCAAGACA
rnacentral:tRNA from 1 species